AAAGGAUGUAUAUAUAUUACUCAAAUAGGAGAAGAUUUACUUCAUUUCUCCUACUCCAAAUCCUUCGAUCCCCACCAUUACUGUACCACCAUUUUACUUCCCUCAAGAUCAAUUUUGAAGAGAGAUUUCAAGCAAUAAUUACAAUACUUUGAAAGAAAAGGUUAAGUUGUGAUGCAGAUGGAAGCAAGCAGAGCAAAUUCUUUGAUGUAUAUGUAUUAAACUAGGCUCAGGAUUCCAUGUCUUCAUACAUGUAAUCCACAUGAAUUAUUCCGCUGCAACACUUAAUGUACUUUACUUUAUUGAUGUGUUGUAGAGAUUUUAAACCAAUAGUUUCGAGAAUUAUAUCAUUUAGACAACUUGUCGUUGUGUUAUUGAAAGUUGUCUACUCGUGAGUUUUAAAAGUGAUUGUAUAUGAUUAUCAGAUAUUAUGGUAAA